AGAGUUUGAUCAUGGCUCAGAACGAACGCUGGCGGCAUGCCUAACACAUGCAAGUCGAACGAGGGCUUCGGCCCUAGUGGCGCACGGGUGAGUAACGCGUGGGAACCUGCCCUGUGGUACGGAAUAACUCCGGGAAACUGGAGCUAAUACCGUAUGUGUCCUUUGGGACAAAGAUUUAUCGCCAUGGGAUGGGCCCGCGUAGGAUUAGCUUGUUGGUGGGGUAACGGCCUACCAAGGCUUCGAUCCUUAGCUGGUCUGAGAGGAUGAUCAGCCACACUGGGACUGAGACACGGCCCAGACUCCUACGGGAGGCAGCAGUGGGGAAUAUUGGACAAUGGGCGCAAGCCUGAUCCAGCAAUGCCGCGUGAGUGAUGAAGGCCUUCGGGUUGUAAAGCUCUUUCGCACGCGACGAUGAUGACGGUAGCGUGAGAAGAAGCCCCGGCUAACUUCGUGCCAGCAGCCGCGGUAAUACGAAGGGGGCUAGCGUUGUUCGGAAUUACUGGGCGUAAAGGGCGCGUAGGCGGUACUUCAAGUCAGGCGUGAAAGCCCCGGGCUCAACCUGGGAACCGCGCUUGAGACUGGAGAACUAGAGUUCGGGAGAGGAUGGUGGAAUUCCCAGUGUAGAGGUGAAAUUCGUAGAUAUUGGGAAGAACACCGAUGGCGAAGGCAGCCAUCUGGACCGACACUGACGCUGAGGCGCGAAAGCGUGGGGAGCAAACAGGAUUAGAUACCCUAGUAGUCC
rnacentral:rRNA from 1 species